rnacentral:rRNA from 1 species
GAUGAACGCUGGCGGCGUGCUUAACACAUGCAAGUCGAACGAAGCACUUUAUUUGAUUUCUUCGGAAUGAAGAUUUUGUGACUGAGUGGCGGACGGGUGAGUAACGCGUGGGUAACCUGCCUCAUACAGGGGGAUAACAGUUGGAAACGACUGCUAAUACCGCAUAAGCGCACAGGGUCGCAUGACCUGGUGUGAAAAACUCCGGUGGUAUGAGAUGGACCCGCGUCUGAUUAGCCAGUUGGUGGGGUAACGGCCUACCAAAGCGACGAUCAGUAGCCGACCUGAGAGGGUGACCGGCCACAUUGGGACUGAGACACGGCCCAAACUCCUACGGGAGGCAGCAGUGGGGAAUAUUGCACAAUGGGGGAAACCCUGAUGCAGCGACGCCGCGUGAGCGAAGAAGUAUUUCGGUAUGUAAAGCUCUAUCAGCAGGGAAGAAGAAAUGACGGUACCUGACUAAGAAGCACCGGCUAAAUACGUGCCAGCAGCCGCGGUAAUACGUAUGGUGCAAGCGUUAUCCGGAUUUACUGGGUGUAAAGGGAGCGCAGGCGGUACGGCAAGUCUGAUGUGAAAGCCCGGGGCUCAACCCCGGUACUGCAUUGGAAACUGUCGGACUAGAGUGUCGGAGGGGUAAGUGGAAUUCCUAGUGUAGCGGUGAAAUGCGUAGAUAUUAGGAGGAACACCAGUGGCGAAGGCGGCUUACUGGACGAUUACUGACGCUGAGGCUCGAAAGCGUGGGGAGCAAACAGGAUUAGAUACCCUGGUAGUCCACGCCGUAAACG